GCUAUCUGAAUUUCUCCUUCUCCUAAAAAUGCACAUCCUAUGACUGAAAAGACAGGAAAGAUGACAAACUCUAUGGAAACUUGGCUUCUGAAGAACUCCUAGAAGCUUUCCAAAGUCAUCAGUGUUUCCUAAGAAGGCAGAGAAAUCAAACACAUGGUCUUUUCCUCUAGACAAGCUCCUUUGGGUCAUCAGGAUUUCUUCAACAAUAAAAUGUUGCUUCACAGUCUUCCCUUCUAUCUGAUUCAGUGGACCAAGUAAAUGACUCUCUGGUAACAGAAUUUGUAUUACUUGGACUUGCACAAUCCUUGGAAAUGCAGUUUUUCCUUUUUCUCUUCUUCUCUUUAUUCUAUGUGGGAAUUAUCCUGGGAAACCUCUUCAUUGUGUUCACAGUGAUCUUUGAUCCUCACUUACACUCCCCCAUGUAUAUUCUGCUGGCCAACCUAUCGCUCAUUGACUUGAGCCUUUCAUCUACCACAGUUCCUAGGUUGAUCUACGAUCUUUUUACUGAUUGUAAAGUUAUUUCCUUCCAUAAUUGUAUGAUACAAAAGUUCUUUAUCCAUGUUACGGGAGGAGUUGAAAUGGUGCUGCUGAUAGUCAUGGAAUAUGAUAGGUACACUGCGAUCUGCAAGCCUCUCCACUAUCCAACUAUUAUGAAUCCCAAAAUGUGCAUGUUUUUGGUAGCAGCAGCUUGGGUCAUUGGGGUGAUUCAUGCUAUGUCUCAGUUUGUUUUUGUCAUAAAUUAACCUUCUGUGGCCCUAAUAAUGUGGGGAGCUUUUAUUGUGAUUUUCCUCGGGUUAUUAAACUUGCAUGCAUGGACACUUACGGGCUAGAAUUUGUGGUCACUGCCAACAGUGGAUUCAUAUCGAUGGGCACCUUCUUUUUCUUAAUUGUAUCAUACAUUUUUAUUCUGGUCACUGUCCAACGACAUUCCUCAAAUGAUUUAUCCAAAGCAUUCUUCACUUCGUAGGCUCACAUCACCGUAGUGGUUUUGUUUUUUGCUCCAUGCAUGUUUCUCUACGUGUGGCCUUUCCCUACUAAGUCAUUGGAUAAAUUUUUUGCCAUCAUGAACUUUGUUGUCACCCCUGUCUUAAAUCCUGCCAUCUAUACUUUAAGGAACAAAGAUAUGAAGUUUGCAAUGAGAAGGCUGAAUCAACAUAUUUUAAAUUCUAUGGAGACGACAUAACACAUUUGGUUGAUGAGAGCACAGGAUAAAUGCCAUGGACCAUCAAGACUCCUGUGAUCACCAUGAUCACUAUGGAACGCGCACAUUUUUAGUAUUGCCUGAAAAAACUGAAAAAUCUGCAAAAAGGAUGCAUUAAAUCUAAGAAUUGUAUUUCAGAUAAAGUUGCAACAUUUUUUGUUAAUCAUAAAAAGUAUAUAUUUCUAUCUAAUGUGUGUAUCUAAUUAACAGCAAUGACUAUCUUUAAUUUUGAUGUAGUUAUUUUAUAUCUGUAUAUAAGCACAUACACAUAUAUAUGACCUAGGUUUAUUUAUCAGUAUUUUUAUGCUGAUAAUAAGCAUCACUGGAAAUUAAUUUUCUUAUGGAAAUUAUGUGGAUCCAAUGGAUAAAAUAUGAGUUUAUAUAAAUUAGUAAAUGCCAAAAUCAAGGAAGAAACAAUUUUUAUUUUAAUUGUACUUUAAGUUAGAUAAAUGGUAAGGUCAACAGCUUGUUACAACCCUUAAGUAUUAUUUUCAGGCUGAUUGUCAAUAUGUUUUGUACAAUGUUCUCACUUAUAGGUGGGAAUUGAACAAUGAGAACACAUGGACACAGGAAGGGGAACAUCACAC
ensembl:lncRNA novel transcript